AGAGUUUGAUCCUGGCUCAGAACGAACGCUGGCGGCGUGCUUAACACAUGCAAGUCGAACGCGAAAGGGGACUUCGGUCCCCCGGUAGAGUGGCGCACGGGUGAGUAACGCGUAGAUAAUCUACCCCUGUAUUUGGGAUAACAAUUCGAAAGGAUUGCUAAUACCGGAUACACUUUUUCUUGCGCGAGCAGGAGGGAGGAAAGGUGACCUCUUCAUGAAAGUUACUGUAUAGGGAUGAGUCUGCGUACCAUUAGCUAGUAGGUAGGGUAAAGGCCUACCUAGGCGACGAUGGUUAGCGGGUCUGAGAGGAUGAUCCGCCACACUGGAACUGGAACACGGACCAGACUCCUACGGGAGGCAGCAGUGAGGAAUAUUGCGCAAUGGGGGAAACCCUGACGCAGCGACGCCGCGUGGGUGAAGAAGGCCUUCGGGUUGUAAAGCCCUGUCAGGUGGGAAGAAGUGUAUCAUGGCUAAUAUCCAUGGUAUUUGACGGUACCACCAAAGGAAGCACCGGCUAACUCCGUGCCAGCAGCCGCGGUAAUACGGAGGGUGCAAGCGUUGUUCGGAUUUACUGGGCGUAAAGGGCGCGUAGGCGGUUUUAUAAGUCUGAUGUGAAAGCCCUGGGCUCAACCCAGGAAGUGCAUUGGAUACUGGGAGACUUGAAUACGGGAGAGGGUAGUGGAAUUCCUAGUGUAGGAGUGAAAUCCGUAGAUAUUAGGAGGAACACCGGUGGCGAAGGCGGCUACCUGGACCGAUAUUGACGCUGAGACGCGAAAGCGUGGGGAGCAAACAGGAUUAGAUACCCUGGUAGUCC
rnacentral:rRNA from 1 species